GAUGAACGCUAGCGACAGGCCUAACACAUGCAAGGUCGAGGGGCAGCACAUGAGUAGCAAUACGAUGGUGGCGACCGGCGCACGGGUGAGUAACACGUAUGCAACCUACCUGUAAGAGGGGAAUAACCCGGAGAAAUUCGGACUAACACCGCAUAAUACCGAUUAACUGCAUGGUUGAUCGGUUAAAUAUUUAUAGCUUACAGAUGGGCAUGCGUAACAUUAGAUAGUUGGUGAGGUAACGGCUCACCAAGUCAACGAUGUUUAGGGGUUCUGAGAGGAAGGUCCCCCACACUGGUACUGAGACACGGACCAGACUCCUACGGGAGGCAGCAGUGAGGAAUAUUGGUCAAUGGGCGAGAGCCUGAACCAGCCAAGUCGCGUGAAGGAAGAAGGUUCUAUGGAUUGUAAACUUCUUUUGUAAGGGAAUAAAAAGAGUUACGUGUAACUUAUUGUAUGUACUUUACGAAUAAGGAUCGGCUAACUCCGUG
rnacentral:rRNA from 1 species